AUUGAACGCUGGCGGCAGGCCUAACACAUGCAAGUCGAGCGAGCGGCGGACGGGUGAGUAAUGUAUGGGGACUGCCCGAUAGAGGGGGAUAACUACUGGAAACGGUGGCUAAUAACGCAUACUAUCGGAUAACCCAUAUGGGAUUAGCUGGUAGGUGGGGUAAAGGCUCACCUGGGCGACGAUCUCUAGCUGGUCUGCGAGGAUGAUACGCAAAACUGGGACGUAGACAAGGCCCAGACUCCUACGGAGGCAGCAGUGGGGAAUAUGGCACAAUGGGCGCAAGCCUGAUGCAGCCAUGCCGCGUGUAUGAAGAAGGCCUUAGGGUUGUAAAGUACUUUCAGCGGGGAGGCGUUACCCGCAGAAGAAGCACCGGCUAACUCCGGGCCAGCAGCCGCGGUAAUUC
rnacentral:rRNA from 1 species